AUACUUACCUGGCAGGGGAGAUAACUAUGAUUAUGAAAAGUGGUUUUCUCAGGGUGAAGUUUAUCCAUUACACUCUGGAUGUGCUGACUACUGCAAUUUCCCCAAAUAUGGGAAACUCGACUGCAUAAUUUUUGAUAGUGGAGGACUGUAUUCAUGCUCUCUCCUG